GAGCCUAUAGCACAAAUGGUAGUGCGUUUGACUCCAGAUCAAAAGGUUGAGGGUUCAAGUCCUUCUAGGCUCA